AGUGAACGCUGGCGGUAGGCCUAACACAUGCAAGUCGAACGGUAGCACAUUAAGAGCUUGCUCUUACGGGUGGCGAGUGGCGGACGGGUGACGCAUACAUCGUAAUCUACUUUUUCGUGGGGGAUAACGUAGGGAAACUUACGCUAAUACCUCAUACGACCUACGGGUGAAAGCAGGGUAUCUUCGUACCUUGCGCGCUUGAAUGAGCCGAUGUCGGAUUAGCUAGUUGGGGGGGUAAAGGGCCACCAAGGCGACGGUCCGUAGCUGGUCUGAGAGGAUGAUACGCCACAUGGGGAAGUAGACACGGGCCAAACUCCCACGGGAGGGAGCAGUGGGGAAUUUUAGGCAAGGGGCGAAAGGCUGACCGAGCAACGCCGGGUGAGUGAAGAAGGGUGUCGGGUUGUAAAACUCUUUUGGUAGAGAAGAAAGAGCGUGAGAUUAGAAAGCUCAUCUAGUGACGGUAACUAACCAGAAAGCGCCGGCUAACUACGUG
rnacentral:rRNA from 1 species